UCUUGAGGUGGUUGACGGUGUGGUCGAUGUCGGCGUCGUCGAGGAUGAUCGCCGCGGACUUGCCGCCGAGUUCGAGGCUCACCCGCUUGAGC
rnacentral:tRNA from 1 species